GAAGGAGUACAAAGGAUGGUUUCUAACUACAGACCCAGUCUCUGCCAAAGCUCUUCAUGACCUGAACCUUUAAACAGAUCAGCUGUUCCUUUACCUGAUGGGAAGCAGCCACAAACCGGAUCCACCCAUCAUCCAAGGAGACAACGAACGCCCCUCUUUGCAGCUGCACAUUCACUUGGCCUCCUCCAAACAAGACUAAGGGGUACACAGACACCAUGCUGCAGUCUCGGAUGAACACCCGGCUAGUUUUGAUUUUCUCAUGGUACAACAGGUAGGGGCUGUCGAAGUGUCUGACCUGUAACACAAAACCUCCAAUGACAAUGAGGUCGAUGGCCACAUAAGGGGAUUCCUGGCAGUCCCAUGGAUUUCAGAGCUGCCCUUCCAUUAAGGACUCACAGUGAUCUUUCCUCUGAGCUUGCUGUUAUGUGUGACUUCCUAAUACCCAUUAGACAUCUAAUACCAUCUAAUGCUUUGCAAACCUCUCCUUGUUAGGGCUGGGGCUGUAGCUCAGUGACAGAACAUUUGCAUAGCAUACAUAAAGCCCUGGGUUCAAUCCCUAUUACCCUAGGAAACAAAUCAACGACAAUAAAAAACCCCUUUUGGUGGUGUUCAAAAGAAG